GAUGAAGAACGUAGCGAAAUGCGAUACUUGGUGUGAAUUGCAGAAUCCCGUGAACCAUCGAGUCUUUGAACGCAAGUUGCACCCGAAGCCAUUAGGCCGAGGGCACGCCUGCCUGGGCGUCACACGUCGUUGCCCCCCAUCUACUCCUUCGGGAUUGCGGGGGGCGGAUGAUGGCCUCCCGUGCGCCUCGUCGCGCGGUUGGCAUAAAUGCCAAGUCCUCGGCGACGCACGCCACGACAAUCGGUGGUUGCGAAACCUCGGUUGCCCGUCGUGUGCGGUCGUCGCGCAUCGAGGGCUCGAAAAAAUUGCCGGGCUCCGGCUCGGCUUUCAACGCGACCCCAGGUCAGGCGGGGUUACCCGCUGAAUUUAAGCAUAUCAUAAGCGGAGGA
rnacentral:misc_RNA from 1 species